rnacentral:rRNA from 1 species
GACGAACGCUGGCGGCGUGCUUAACACAUGCAAGUCGAACGAUGAAGAAGAGAAACGCGAACUUCGGUUCAACUUUCACUUCGGAUUAGUGGCAGACGGGUGAGUAACGCGUGAGCAACCUACCUCUUACAAAGGGAUAGCCUCGGGAAACCGUGAUUAAUACCAUAUGACACAUUCAUAAGGCAUCUUAAGAAUGUUAAAGCUACGGCGGUAAGAGAUGGGCUCGCGUCCCAUUAGCUAGUUGGUGAGGUAACGGCCCACCAAGGCGACGAUGGGUAACCGGCGUGAGAGGGUGAACGGUCACAUUGGGACUGAGACACGGUCCAAACUCCUACGGGAGGCAGCAGUGGGGAAUAUUGCACAAUGGAGGGAACUCUGAUGCAGCGACGCCGCGUGAGCGAUGAAGGAAUUCGUUUCGUAAAGCUCUGUUCUAUGGGAAGAAAAGGACUGUACCAUAGGAGAAAGCCCCGGCUAAAUACGUG